UAAGGAAUAUUGGUCAAUGGACGCAAGUCUGAACCAGCCAUGCCGCGUGGAGGAUGAAGGUCCUCUGGAUUGUAAACUUCUUUUAUCUGGGACGAAACACUUCUUUUCUAAGAGGCCUGACGGUACCAGAUGAAUAAGCACCGGCUAACUCCGUGCUAGCAGCCGCGGUAAUACGGAGGGUGCAAGCGUUAUCCGGAUUCACUGGGUUUAAAGGGUGCGUAGGUGGGUAUGUAAGUCAGUGGUGAAAUCCCCGAGCUUAACUUGGGAACUGCCAUUGAUACUAUAUAUCUUGAAUACCGUAGAGGUAAGCGGAAUAUGUCAUGUAGCGGUGAAAUGCUUAGAUAUGACAUGGAACACCAAUUGCGAAGGCAGCUUACUAUGCGGUGAUUGACACUGAGGCACGAAAGCGUGGGUAGCAAACA
rnacentral:rRNA from 1 species